UACGAAGGGGGGCUAGCGUUGCUCGGAAUCACUGGGCGUAAAGCGCACGUAGGCGGCUUUCUAAGUCAGGGGUGAAAUCCUGGAGCUCAACUCCAGAACUGCCUUUGAUACUGGAGAGCUUGAGUCCGGGAGAGGUGAGUGGAACUCCGAGUGUAGAGGUGAAAUUCGUAGAUAUUCGGAAGAACACCAGUGGCGAAGGCGGCUCACUGGCCCGGUACUGACGCUGAUGUGCGAAAGCGUGGGGAGCAA
rnacentral:rRNA from 1 species